rnacentral:ncRNA from 2 species
GCAAUCACAAAGGGGAGUCCAUCUGGGCUGAGACUGAAUUUAUUCUAAACCCUUCGUACCUGUUUCGGUUAUGCGAGCGUAGGAAUUGUGAACGAAUAGCGA